CAAAAACAUGUCCUUUUGGUUUUUUAAUUUAAGGUCUAACCUGCCCACUGAUAUAAAUUAAAUGGCCGCAGUAUUUUAACUGUGCAAAGGUAGCAUAAUCAUUAGUCUUUUAAUUGGAGGCUUGUAUGAAUGGUUGGACGAAACAUAAACUGUAUCAUAAAUAAUUAAUAAUAGAAUUUUAUUUUUUAGUUAAAAAGCUAAAAUUUAAUUGAAAGACGAGAAGACCCUAUAGAUCUUUAUAAUUAAAUAAUUUAUUAUUAUUUAGAUUUAUUUUAUAAUUAAUUAUUUAAUUAUUUUGUUGGGGUGACAUUAAAAUUUAUUUAACUUUUAAUAAAAAAUAUUACAUUUAUAUAUGAAUUAUUGAUCCAUUAUUAGUGAUUAAAAAAUUAAGUUACCUUAGGGAUAACAGCGUAAUCUUUUUGGAGAGUUCUUAUCAAUAAAAAGGUUUGCGACCUCGAUGUUGGACUAAAAUAAAUUUUGGGUGUAGCAGUUCAAAGGUAAGUCUGUCGACUUUAAUUUUUUACAUGAUCU
rnacentral:rRNA from 1 species